rnacentral:rRNA from 1 species
UACAGAGGGUGCAAGCGUUGUUCGGAAUUAUUGGGCGUAAAGGGCGCGUAGGCGGUGCGGUAAGUCUGUAGUGAAAUCUCUGGGCUCAACUCAGAGUCUGCUAUAGAAACUGCCGUGCUCGAGUGUGGGAGAGGUGAGUGGAAUUCCCGGUGUAGCGGUGAAAUGCGUAGAUAUCUGGAGGAACACCGGUGGCGAAGGCGGCAUCCUGGACCGACACUGACGCUGAGGAGCGAAAGCCAGGGGAGCAAACGGG